rnacentral:rRNA from 1 species
ACGUAGGAGGCAAGCGGUGUCCGGAAUCACUGGGCGUAAAGCGCGUGUAGGCGGAUCGCUAAGUCUGUGGUGAAAGCGCCUGGCUUAACCGGGCGAGGUCCAUGGAAACUAGCGGUCUGGAGGCCGGUAGAGGGGGGUGGAAUUCCGGGUGUAGUGGUGAAAUGCGUAGAGAUCCGGAGGAACACCAGUGGCGAAGGCGGCCCCCUGGGCCGCGCCUGACGCUGAGACGCGAAAGCGUGGGGAGCAAACAGG